rnacentral:rRNA from 1 species
UGAGGAAUAUUGGACAAUGGGCGCAAGCCUGAUCCAGCCAUGCCGCGUGCAGGAAGAAGCAUCUAUGGUGUGUAAACUGCUUUUGUACGGGAAGAAACACUCCUACGUGUAGGAGCUUGACGGUACCGUAAGAAUAAGGAUCGGCUAACUCCGUGCCAGCAGCCGCGGUAAUACGGAGGAUCCAAGCGUUAUCCGGAAUCAUUGGGUUUAAAGGGUCCGUCGGCGGUUUAGUAAGUCAGUGGUGAAAACCCAUCGCUCAACGAUGGAACGGCCAUUGAUACUGCUAGACUUAGAUUAUUAGGAAGUAACUAGAAUAUGUAGUGUAGCGGUGAAAUGCUUAGAUAUUACAGGAAAUACCAAUUGCGAAAGCAGGUUACUACUAAUGGAUUGACGCUGAUGGACAAAAGCGUGGGGGGCGAACA